GCCUCGCAUUUUCAAGGUGCUGUACACAACCUAGUGUGGUUGCUAAGUGUAUAGAUAAUCGGGAAACUGGUGCGAACACAAGGGAACAUCUAAUUGCGUUAAUCAAUAAUAAAUUGAGUAAGACAGUUUAUUACACGUGAUUAGCUUGGAUCGGUUCUAUGCCAGCGCUGCCCCCGCAACGGUAGAGUGAACUGCCAAUCUGCAGAUUUACUGAGCCCGGAGACCGGCCUUGAAACAGUCACUUUGU
rnacentral:ncRNA from 16 species